rnacentral:lncRNA from 1 species
CACCACGCCCAUCCAAUUUUUGUGGUUUUUUAGUAGAGAUGGGGUUCGCCGUGUUGCCCAGGCUGGUGUCGAACUCCUGAGCUCAGGCAAUCUACCUGCCUCAGCCUCCUAAAGUGCUGGGAUUACAGGCAUGAGCCACUGCACCCGGCCAGUCUCAGGUAUUCUUUACAGCAGUGUGAAAUGGGCUAACAUAGAUGGCCAUUAAGAAGGCAGAUAAAGCAGGACAAGGAAGUGAAACAAGCCAAACAAGAGAAACGUAACCAAUAUCGGAUAUAGAUAUAGAUAGGUAAGUAGAUAGAUUAUAGAUAGAUGAUAGAUUAAGAGAUCAAUAGAUGUGCAGAUAUAUAUAAAGAAAUUUAUUAUAAGGAAUUGUUUCAUUCCAUUAUAAAAGCUGAGAAGUCCUAUGAUCUGUCUUCUGCAAGCCGGAGACCCAGAGAAACCAGUGGUAUAGCUCUAGUCCAAGUCUGAAGACCUGAGAACCAAGAAAAUGAUAUGAGCCCCAGUCUGUGGGUAGAAGACUGAUGUCCCAGCUCAAAGAGGCAGGGCUGGUGCGUGAACAUAUAAGAAAAGAAAAAAUGCCAGCUGAGAGGAGGUUUCGGAUGGAGAUGUAUGUUUUGAGGCCGAAAGCCAGACACCAGCUUUCUAAGAGAAGAAUCUGGUUCAGCAUCUCACAAAAGAUCAAAGUAUAAUUUAACCAGGUGAGAGGAGCUUUGCAAACUCCUGCCUCUUCACCAAAGCAAGGAGGGCUAUUCAGGUAGACUUUUCCUUUGCAAGACUAGAAGCCCUGAGUCUCCUGUCUCCUGAAUUAGUGAUUUGGUUGCAGAUUUUUUUCACUCUACAUAUAGACCAAACAAAAGUUAGAUAACUGCAUUAUUUAUGAUUCUUUUGAUUAUAAGCAAGAGAACUCAAGUUGAGAGAACUUACGCAAAAGGGAAUUUACCAAAAGAUUUGGGGCACUCACAAAAGGCUGAACAAAUAACUUGGAAAUGGGCAAGAACCACAGAAGGGUCCAGAAGAAGCCUGUGCUGAAAUAAGUCAGUUUCAACAGGCUAUUCUGUCUUUGCAUUACUCACUCAAAACUCGUAAUCCCAACAGAGAGUGUCAAAUUGGCUGAGUUGAGAUUAUGUGUCUGGGCCUGCUACACCAGGGCAAUUUAAGAGAAAGAGUCCAGGGAAGGAACACGCAGUAACUCCUUCAGCUUCUGUGAUGGAAGGGUGAGUACCUAGAUUUACAGACACAACAAGACUGUCUGCAAAGGGGCGUGUAUGUUCGCAGGUAGGGGAUGCAGAUUUCCCAAAAAAGAAACUCUGGGGCCGAACUCGUUGGCUCACGCCUGUAAUCUCAGCACUUUAGGAGGCCGAGGCAGGCGGAUCACGAGGUCAGGAGAUGGAGACCACCCUGGCCAACAUAGUGAAACCCAUCUCUACUAAAAAUACAAAAAUUAGCUGGGUGUGGUGGCAUGCACCUGUAAUCACACCUGCUAAGGAGGCUGAGGCAGGAGAAUCACCUGAACCUGGCAGGCGGAGGUUGCAGUGAGCCGAGAUUGCACCACUGCACUCCAGUCUGGGUGACAGAGUGAGGCUCCAUUUAAAAAAAAAAAAAAAAACAAAACUGAAGUUCCAAUCCCUUUAUAACUGUAUUAAAUUUUCUCUACUAAAUCUGCUAGGGGCCAGAUGCUGUGGCUCAUGCCUAUAAUUCCAGCACUUUAGAGGGUUGAGGCAAAUGGAUCAUGAGGUCAAGAGAUCGAGACCAUCCUGGCCAACAUGGUGAAACUCCAUCUCUACUGAAAAUACAAAAAUUAGCUGGGCAUGGUGGCGCCCACCUGUAGUCCCAGCUACUUGGGAGGCUGAGGCAGGAGAAUCACUUGAACCCGGGAGGCAGAGGUUGCAGUGAGCUGAGAUCACGCCACUGCGCUCCAGCCUGGUAACACAGCAAGACUCCAACUUAAAAAAAAGAAAAAAAGUUGUUUUAAGUUUAGAUAUUAAUUGUAAUCUCUAAGGCAAUCACAAAAUAACUCAAGGAAUGCUAAAAUAAAUUACAAGGGAAUAAAAAUGGUACAACAAAACAUAUUUGACAAUAUAGAAAAAAUAGGAAAAUGGCAAUUAUAAAGCCUCUUAUUCAUAAUUACAUUAAGUGUAAAUGGUUUAAACACUCAAAUCAAAGGCAGAUAUUGGCAAUAUUGAUGAAAACCAUGAUCCAACUAUAUUGUGUCUACAAGUAACACAUUUUAUUGUUAUUGUUAUUAUUAUUUUAUUUCAAUAGGUUUUUGGGGGAACAGGGAGUGUUUGGUUAUAUGAAUAAGUUCUUUAGUGGUGAUUUCUGAGAUUUUGC